rnacentral:rRNA from 1 species
GGGCCCGCACAAGCGGUGGAGCAUGUGGUUUAAUUCGAUGAUACGCGAGGAACCUUACCAAGGUUUAAAUGUAGAACGAUCGAUGUGGAAACACAUCUUUCUUCGGACGGUCUACAAGGUGCUGCAUGGUUGUCGUCAGCUCGUGCUGUGAAGUGUCGGGUUAAGUCCCAUAACGAGCGCAACCCCUAUCUUUAGUUGCCAGCGAUUCGGUCGGGGACUCUAAAGAAACUGCCGGCGUAAGCCGCGAGGAAGGUGGGGAUGACGUCAAAUCAUCACGGCCCUUACAUCUUGGGCUACACACGUGCUACAAUGGCGAGGACAACGAGAAGCAAACCGGCGACGGUGAGCAAAUCUAAAAACCUCGUCUCAGUUCGGAUCGGAGUCUGCAACUCGACUCCGUGAAGUUGGAAUCGCUAGUAAUCGCGCAUC